rnacentral:rRNA from 1 species
CCCGCGUUACAUCCCCUUAAGUUGAUCAUGGCUCAGAUUGAACGCUGGCGGCAUGCCUUACACAUGCAAGUCGAGCGGCAGCGCGGGGGCAACCCUGGCGGCGAGCGGCGGACGGGUGAGUAAUGCAUCGGAACGUGUCCUCUUGUGGGGGAUAACCAGUCGAAAGACUGGCUAAUACCGCAUGAGCUCGAAAGAGGAAAGCAGGGGAUCCGCAAGGACCUUGCGCGAGAGGAGCGGCCGAUGCCCGAUUAGCUAGUUGGCGGGGUAAAAGCCCACCAAGGCGACGAUCGGUAGCUGGUCUGAGAGGACGACCAGCCACACUGGGACUGAGACACGGCCCAGACUCCUACGGGAGGCAGCAGUGGGGAAUUUUGGACAAUGGGGGCAACCCUGAUCCAGCCAUGCCGCGUGUGUGAAGAAGGCCUUCGGGUUGUAAAGCACUUUCGGACGGAACGAAAUCGCGCGUGUUAAUACCUCGCGUGGAUGACGGUACCGUAAGAAGAAGCACCGGCUAACUACGUGCCAGCAGCCGCGGUAAUACGUAGGGUGCGAGCGUUAAUCGGAAUUACUGGGCGUAAAGUGUGCGCAGGCGGCCGCGCAAGUCGAGUGUGAAAGCCCCGGGCUUAACUUGNGAAUUGCGCUCGAAACUACGUGGCUGGAGUGUGGCAGAAGAAGGUGGAAUUCCCGUGUAGCGGUGAAUGCGUAGAGAUGUGGAGGACACCAAUGGCGAAGCAGCCUCUGGGCACACUGACCUCUGCACGAAGCGUGGGAGCAACAG